rnacentral:rRNA from 1 species
CCUACGGGAGGCAGCAGUGGGGAAUAUUGCACAAUGGGGGAAACCCUGAUGCAGCGACGCCGCGUGAAGGAAGAAGUAUUUCGGUAUGUAAACUUCUAUCAGCAGGGAAGAAAGUGACGGUACCUGACUAAGAAGCCCCGGCUUACUACGUGCCAGCAGCCGCGGUAAUACGUAGGGGGCACGCGUUAUCGGGAUUUACUGGGUGUAAAGGGAGCGUAGGCGGGUGUGCAAGUCAGAUGUGAAAGCCCGGGGGUCAACCCCGGUACCGCUUUUGAAACUGGAGGGCUUGAUUGCAGGAGAGGCAAGUGGAAUUCCUGGUGUAGCGGUGAAAUGCGUAGAUAUUAGGAGGAACACCAGUGGCGAAGGCGGCUUGCUGGCCUGCAAAUGACGCUGAGGCUCGAAAGCGUGGGGAGCAAACAGGAUUAGAUACCCCUGUAGUC